AUUGAACGCUGGCGGCAGGCUUAACACAUGCAAGUCGAGCGGGGGCUUCGGUCCUAGCGGCGAACGGGUGAGGAAUGCCUGGGAAUCUGCCUGGUAGUGGGGGAUAACGAUUCGAAAGGGUCGCUAAUACCGCAUACGUCCUACGGGAGAAAGCAGGGGACCUUCGGGCCUUGCGCUAUCAGAUGAGCCCAGGUCGGAUUAGCUAGUAGGUGAGGUAAAGGCUCACCUAGGCGACGAUCCGUAGCUGGUCUGAGAGGAUGAUCAGCCACACUGGAACUGAGACACGGUCCAGACUCCUACGGGAGGCAGCAGUGGGGAACAUUGGACAAUGGGCGAAAGCCUGAUCCAGCCAUGCCGCGUGUGUGAAGAAGGCCUCGGUUGUAAG
rnacentral:rRNA from 1 species